rnacentral:rRNA from 1 species
UACUAGAGUAGCACUCGCAUAUCAAUAAGCGGAGGAAAAGAAACUAACAAGGAUUCCCCUAGUAACGGCGAGUGAAGCGGGAAGAGCUCAAAUUUGAAAUCUUAAAGGGUUUCCCUUUACGAAUUGUAGUUUAAAGAAGUGUUUUCUGUUGAGGUUUUGGUAAAAGUUCUUUGGAAUAGGACAUCAUAGAGGGUGAGAAUCCCGUAUUUGACCUUUACUUUCAACUUUGUGAUACACUUUCAAAGAGUCGGAUUGUUUGGGAAUGCAGUCCAAAAUGGGUGGUAAAUUUCAUCUAAAGCUAAAUAUUGGCGAGAGACCGAUAGCGAACAAGUACCGUGAGGGAAAGAUGAAAAGAACUUUGAAAAGAGAGUUAAACAGUACGUGAAAUUGUCAAAAGGGAAGCGUUUGACACCAGUGUUGUUUUUCUGAAAAUCAAUUAAGGAACUGUUUAUGCUAAGCUGUUUAGACUUUAUCAGCUAUCUGUUUAGUUUUGAGCUUUUCUUUAAUGCACUUUUCAGUUAACAAGUCAACAUCAAUUUCUUUUGCUGUAAAAAAGCUUGAGGAAGGUGGCUUGAGAUUCGUCUUAAGUGUUUAUAGCCUCUUGCCUAUGCAGUCGGAGAGAUUGAGGUCUGCAGCGUAGAUCCUUCGGGGCUAAAUGCAUUUGUGCUAAGUUAUAGCAUUUUAUAGACAACUUGUUGACUAUGAUUUGUCUUGUAGCUUACUUGCUUAUGUUAUUUUACCUACGCUUAGGAUGUUGAACUACUGAGACAUAG